GAUUUUGCAACGACUGCUACGCUCGAUUCUAUAUUGGCUUCCGACAUAUGACACCAGAAUGUUAAUAUAACAAUUAAACAAUCAACACCUUUGAUUAAAAAAGGAGCAGUUUGAAUUUAAUUAGACGCAUAAAAUCUUCCUUUCCACUUGAUCUAUUGUUGCUCGUUUCAAACAACAUCUUUGCCUGGAACUUUUUUGUAACGCAUCUGAAGUUAAAAUAAAAUUGCAUGAAUUUU
rnacentral:sRNA from 1 species